CAGCUGUCAGAGGGGAGGGAAUAGGUGGGCGGGAUGAAAAAGAUGAAGAAAUUAAGAAAAAAACAACAAAACCCAUCCUCAUAAACUGACAACAGUAUGAUGAUUACCAGAGGGAAAAUGGGAUGGGGGAGGUAAAAGAGCGCAACAGAAGGAUAAAUGGUGAUGGAAGGAGACUUGACUUGGGGUGGUGAACACAAUACAAUUAACAGGUGAUAUCUUAUAAAAUUGUACACCUAAGACCUAUAACUAAUGUCACUAAUAAUUGAAUAAAAAUAUAGGAAUAGUCACCCACUGAAAUAUUGAAGAAAAAAUGCUAAUCUAAUUAAUUUACUGUAUCUCUUAAGUCUCAGUAGAAUCUUAUAUUUGUCUAGAUUGAUUAAAUCUCUAAUUGGACAGUCAUAAAUAAUAUUUUUAUGAUACUGCAAAACAAAAUAGCUCUGUCAGAAAUAUUUUUUCUUUUGAAAAAAAAAGAAUGUGGACAUAUCUGUAAAUUACAUAGAAAUUUUAACCAAAUAUACAAAAUCGUAGUUUAUUUUCCAUCUUAUGUGGAAAAUAUAUAAAAAUUUAUAUAAUAAAAAUCCUUUUUAAUAUAAGCAUUUAAAAUAGCUUUGUAUAGUAUAGAGAAUGAUUUUGUAUGUAUGAAUAAAAGAAAAGGUACUUUUGCUGAAGAGUAAUCUGUAAUUAAGGAACCAUUAUAAGAACCAUAUUUUAUGCUUGUAAAAUUUUUAAAAAGUGUAAUUUUAAAAUAAUGAACAGUCUGAGAUCUGUCUUCAUAUUGUUGAAGCACUUAAGUUAUUAAUUAAAUACAAAUUAGACUCUGAAUGUUAUGGCCUUUGUAUGUAAAGUUAUCACCAUGGCAAUAGAGAGGUAAAAGAAGUAUAAUUUAAUGCUUAGGUUUUAUUAAAAUGUGUUUGUUUGUUUGUUUCCCCAUUU